CCCUAGAACAAGAGAAAUUGGUAGGGAAAUGGAAAGACAAAAGUUCUGAUGAUUUGCCCUUAAUUUCACCAAGUUAAGUCAACUUCAAGAGUCCUCUUGUCAGAAAGUCUAACAUGGAUCGGUGGGGUCUUAUUCCAUGAAUUUAGUCAAGGAACCUGGCUUCUUCUGCCUAGUGCUCUACCACCUUCAAGGCAGGGGACACGGGUUCGAGCCCUGGUCUGGGAGGAUCCCACAUGCCACGGAGCAACUACACCCGUGUGCCGCAACUACUGAGCCCGUGCCUAGAGCCCGUGCUCCAGAACAAGAGAAGACACCGCAGUGAGAAGCCGGCACUCCACAAUGAAGAGUAGCCCCCGCUGGCCGCAACUAGAGAAAGCCUGUGUGCAGCAACGGAGACCCAA